rnacentral:rRNA from 1 species
GAUGAACGCUGGCGGCGUGCCUAAUACAUGCAAGUCGAGCGAACAGACGAGGAGCUUGCUCCUCUGACGUUAGCGGCGGACGGGUGAGUAACACGUGGAUAACCUACCUAUAAGACUGGGAUAACUUCGGGAAACCGGAGCUAAUACCGGAUAAUAUAUUGAACCGCAUGGUUCAAUAGUGAAAGACGGUUUUGCUGUCACUUAUAGAUGGAUCCGCGCCGCAUUAGCUAGUUGGUAAGGUAACGGCUUACCAAGGCAACGAUGCGUAGCCGACCUGAGAGGGUGAUCGGCCAAACUGGAAAUGAAACACGGUACAGAAUCAUACGGGAGGAAGCAGUAGGGAAUCUUCCGCAAUGGGCGAAAGCUUGACGGAGCAAAGCCGCGUGAGUGAUGAAGGUCUUCGGAUCGUAAAAAGCUGUUAUUAGGGAAGAACAAAGGUGUAAGUAACUAUGCACGUCUUGACGGUACCUAAUCAGAAAGACACGGCUAACUACGUG